rnacentral:rRNA from 1 species
ACGCGAUGAACCUUACCAGGUCUUGACAUCCCGCUGACCGGUCUGGAGACAGAUCUUCCCCUUCGGGGGCAGCGGUGACAGGUGGUGCAUGGUUGUCGUCAGCUCGUGUCGUGAGAUGUUGGGUUAAGUCCCGCAACGAGCGCAACCCUUGAUCUUAGUUGCCAGCAUUCAGUUGGGCACUCUAAGGUGACUGCCGGUGACAAACCGGAGGAAGGUGGGGAUGACGUCAAAUCAUCAUGCCCCUUAUGACCUGGGCUACACACGUGCUACAAUGGAUGGUACAAAGGGCUGCAAGACCGCGAGGUUUAGCCAAUCCCAUAAAACCAUUCUCAGUUCGGAUUGCAGGCUGCAACUCGCCUGCAUGAAGCUGGAAUCGCUAGUAAUCGCGGAUCAGCAUGCCGCGGUGAAUACGUUCCCGGGCCUUGUACUCACCGCCCGU